CUAUGCUCUAUUAUUUCUACAGUUCUAGCUUGCUAUAGAUGUCUACAUCAAUACUUCAACCCUUCGAGUACUUUAGGGAGUGAAAAAUGAACAUGUUACCAUUGUUUAAAGCAAAGGCAAUUGACACUCCACAAAUAAUAGCAGCUAAACAAACCUCUGAGAGUGAUCUAGUAAGCUCCCACUCAUUACGUAAACCUCCUUGCAUCACUAUACAAAUAAAAGCAGUGAAAUAAACCUUUGAAAAAUGAGUGGUUUAGCAAGUUCCCACUCUGCUUAUUACCAAAACAUCCUUGCAUCUGUAAUAAGAGAGAAAGAGAAGAGGUGAGAAUCAAUGAAUAACAAACUAAAGGUGGGACAAAUCAAUAGGCAACCUCUGUAGUCCAAAGUAAUCCCAUGAAGACACCAAUUGUCUAUACGGCAUAUGGCAAUGCACCACAUGUGCCAAUCAAAAUGUGUGCAGUAAUUUUUUAAAAAACAUGAUCAAACACAUCUUGCCAAAUGAACCAAACAUCUCUCCUUUCUUCAGGAGGCCAGAAAAUUGUGUAGGUAGGACUGCAGGACUGGUCACCUGGUUUUACCAAAAGAGAAAAAAAACUUUUCCAUGUACCUAUGAGAUGCAUGUAGAAACAGCAGGACUACAACCUAAAUCCUUUUUUAUGCUGUAGAUCAGUAGAUCAACACAAUAUAAAAUGAAACACGUUUCCGUUUCAACACACAAACCGCAAUCUGUAAUUCCAAGGGAAUCCAAGUUGAACGAACGAAGAAGCAAGCAAAAAUCUGCUUGCAGAACUUGGGAAGACAUAAUCACAUAAACAAGAAACCCUAAGCACAUUGAGUAAUCAGUCAGAAUAAAGAAGUAGGGAACGGAGCAGGCACAGGCAGAGCGUACAUGGGUAGGGAAACAGGCGCAGGGAAGCCGACACGGCAAAAACAGGGACAUCUUCAGGCAUAGCAAAGGUACUUUUACUGCCAUAUGUUUCUGUUGGACAUUCUUCAGCUCUUUCGUUAGCACUACACAAAUAAUUUGUAUGAGGCGUAAUCUUACUAACCUGGAGCCAAACUGGUAAAAAAAUGAGGACUGCAAUUAGUAGGCCAUCUAAGCUCAAAAAGAUUUUGUAUUAGCAUCCCAAACUGCAUAAAUAGAGACGUGCCUUAGUUAGGAUGGUGCAUGCGUAGGUCCAUAUGGUUCCAACCCUGUAGCAUCCCACCACCCUUUCAUACAUG
rnacentral:lncRNA from 1 species